rnacentral:lncRNA from 1 species
GGCCUCUCCUCCCUACUGUCUGCUCUCGCAGGCUGGUUUGUUAUGGCAUGAAAGAUGGCUCCGUGGAAUAAAGAUGUUUCCCCUCUGAUGAGCACAUUUGCAGAAGGAGGAGGACUGACACCAGCCACACGUAUGUCUGCUGCUGACAAAUGUGCGCACGCCUUGGAGGGCGGGGCCAGGCAGGACAGAGCCGCCCAUGACAGGGGGACACCUCCUGUUCUAGAAUUCUUGGACUGAUUAUCCAUCUUGACAAAGGAGGCCUUGAAUCAAAUUUAAUCUGGUAAAAAAAUAAAUAUACCUUUCUUUUCUGCAAUAGACUAAAUGUAUAGUCCCCACAAAAUUCAUUUUAACCCCCAAGAUGAUGAUGUUAGAAAGUGGGGACUUUGUGAGGUGAAUAGGUCCUAAUGGUAGAACCCUCAUGCAUAGGUUUAGUGCACUUAUCAAAGAGACAUCGGAGAGAUCCCUUGUGCCUUCUGCCAUGUGAGUUAUAGUGAGAAGACAGCCAUCUACUAGGAAUCAGAACGUCAUCAGACACCAAAUCUGCCAGCACCUUGAUCUUAGAUUUCCCAGAUUCCAGAACUGUUAGAAAUAAAUUUCUGUUGUUUAUAAGCCACCCAGUCUAUGGUAUUUUGUUAUGGCAGCCCGAAAAGACUAAGACAUAUGCCAAGCACCAUAGGAAAUGUGCUACCUGCUAUAGACACAUCUUCUAUGUGCCAUUAUCCACCCUUUAAAUAAAGGCCUUAGAAUGAGCUGGGCAAUGGAGG